CCUUGCUGCACCGCUUAUUGUAUGCUCCUCCGCUUAKKGGRUGCUCCUCCGCUUAUUGACUGCUCCUCCGCUUAUAGAAUGUUACUCCGCYUAKAGKGWGAACCMWCUCCKCCWCUAACUUUGAGGAGCUACGUUACCGUASGCUCCCAACACUAAGCAACUAAGGCUUAAGGGUUGAAAUGACGCUCGAACGGUCCUGCCCACUAGAAUACUAAUGGGCGCAAUAUGCGUUCAAAGAUUCGAUGAUUCACUGAAUUCUGCAAUUCACAUUACUUAUCGCAUUUCGCUGCGUUCUUCAUCGAUGCCAGAACCAAGAGAUCCGUUGUUGAAAGUUUUAACUUAUUUAGUUAUAGGUUCAGAAUUCAAUAUCAAACAGAGUUUGGUGGGCCGCCGGCAGGCUUACCCGCACCUCCCGGGUAAGUCUUACAGGGUAAGACUACGAGGUAGGCGCGACCUGCCGAGGCAACGUUAGGUAUGUUCACAUGGGUUUGGGAGUUAUAGAACUCUUUAAUGAUCCCUCCGCAGGUUCACCUACGGAGG
rnacentral:rRNA from 1 species